rnacentral:rRNA from 1 species
CCUACGGGGGGCAGCAGUGAGGAAUAUUGGUCAAUGGGCGAGAGCCUGAACCAGCCAAGUAGCGUGCAGGAUGACGGCCCUAUGGGUUGUAAACUGCUUUUAUAAGGGAAUAAAGUGAGCCUCGUGAGGCUUUUUGCAUGUACCUUAUGAAUAAGGACCGGCUAAUUCCGUGCCAGCAGCCGCGGUAAUACGGAGGAUCCGAGCGUUAUCCGGAUUUAUUGGGUUUAAAGGGAGCGUAGGCGGACGCUUAAGUCAGUUGUGAAAGUUUGCGGCUCAACCGUAAAAUUGCAGUUGAUACUGGGUGUCUUGAGUACAGUAGAGGCAGGCGGAAUUCGUGGUGUAGCGGUGAAAUGCUUAGAUAUCACGAAGAACUCCGAUUGCGAAGGCAGCUCACUGGAGCGCAACUGACGCUGAAGCUCGAAAG